rnacentral:lncRNA from 1 species
AAAGUAGAAUUAUUUAGGGCUGUUUUCACUUGUUUUACUUCAUCUGUGAGUAAACAAAUGAUGUAUGACAAAACUGAGAAACGUACGUUCCCUUGUAAUAGCAUUAGCUUGCAUUUAAGAGUCGAUAGGAUGCGUCAAGUAAAAAAAAAACACUCAUCCAUGAACAGUUCGCAUUCAUCCAGAACGUCACUGAAUCUGCAUUUGAAGCAAUAAACCCUAUUUUAAGAAACAUUUGAAGAAAACAAAUAGAAUAUAAAGAGUUGUAUUAUGGUAACGGAGUUUAACAAACACAUUUCCCACUGAUCUUUGUGCAAGAUCUAGUGUCAGUAAUCGGUCCCGCUGUGGUAACACCUGUCUUUCAACUCAAGUGGUUUCAUUUCUUUUUACGUCUAUGCGGGAGAGUUGUUAUUCAGCCAUGAAUCUGCCGUCAGUAUUUGGCUGAGAUUCGUUAGUUCAUUGACUAAGCAUGACAAACACUUAUCAAUGAUGACACACGCGAAAUUUGAACUUACUUUAGGGAUUCAUUGUAUGAAUCACUGAUUUCUUACGUAUUUGAUGGAGGGCAAGUUGCCCCUCAUCUCGAUUCCUGCCCUUAGUGAUGAUUCAUCUGUUUAUUCGCUAAGUAUGACGAUCUAUUAUGACACACACGCACAUAUUUCUUGCCGAAUUCAGAAUCACACUGUUGGAAUGAGAAGAGGUUUUUUAUGCCCUCUCUAAUACUUCCGUUAGUUACGAUUUGGGUGACAUUCGUCAGGUGGCUCUUAGACAUCGUCACAUACAGAUAUAAGCUGACUUUAAUGACUCAUCAGUCUUGGAAUAGAAGAAAAGUGUUCCAUAUCUGUGACUUUGGCACAUACAAAUGUAAUCGGAUUUUUAUGGAGAGCAGAAGGGAAGUAUUUUAUACCGGUGGUGAAGCUUUGUUCCCUGUGCUUUAUUCUGCCGUUAUUCUGUAAUAACUUGAUCAUGGCAGCGUUUUCAGUUCACUGUUUUCUACCAAUAUCGUUGAAGUGCGACCCGCGAAGUUUGAUGUAUCGUUCGUGGACUAGAAUAUUUCUACGACCGUCAAUUAAGGCACUGAAAUUUAAAAUAUAUAUACUAGGGGAGAUUUUAGACCUUAGACUGAAUUAAAGAUUUCAAUCCCUUAAUCCUCUAAAAUCCUUAAUUCAGCCAAUUUUUUAUUUUUUAUUUUUUUUGAUUGACGGUCGUUGAAACGCGUGGUAAUUCGGCAAACGAGACAUCCAACUUCGAGGGUCGCAAUUCAAACAACUCAACUCUGACGUUUGCACUUAUCUGGUUUAGAAUGGCGAACUCUUACGACGCAUUUUUCGCGCUUGAAGCUCUUCUUUAUUAACAACACAUAUUUUUGAAUACUUUUGGUGUAAGCACAUUCUACUCAUCCUGAUAAGACAGUUUUUCGAUCCAAUAACCAAAGCAUAUUCGCUUCUUCUGAUUAAUUUAAAUUUAAAAAAAGCCAGUGUACUUUAUUAACUAAAACGUAUCUAAACACUAAACAUUUUAUUACAGUUUUAUUGCGUUUUAUUAGCUCCAUCUUAGAUAUUAUAAUAAGACUUUAGACUAAUGCUGAAUAUAUGCCUACUUUGAAUCAGCUGGCUAAACAGGUACAUCAGUAUUACUUACUCGACGCAUCAGCGAGUUUCACUUUCGAGUAGAAUGAAUUUCGCUGACUCAUGCACGUUUUGUUUAGCCUUUCCUUCCUGCUUUUCCUAUGCAAAUCAUAUUCUUUUAUUCAAUCGCUAAAUGACUUGGUGAGUUACUAAGGACAAUGGGUUUAUUCUUGUGUAACUGACAUGUGAGACGCACGAGUUUUGUUUUACUUUUAGUUAAAACAGCGUGACAGUUUUCCUCUUUCUUCUGUGGUGCAGUGACGGAUCAAAAUAUUUAUACUAAUCAUGGUUUUGGUGUUAUAAUGAUGAUGAUGGUGUUGAUGAUAAUAGGCAUAAUGAUAGUGACAGUGACGACGAUAUGGUGAUGAUGGUGAUGAUAGGGACGAUGACAGCGAUACUGAUGAUGAAGGUUGUUGGCAUGUUGUUGGUGGUGUACAGUUGGAGUAUAGACCCGUUGCAGCAAGUAGGAAUGCAGUUUCAUUUGGAGGACAUAAUAAUAGGUUCCCAAUUCUCAGAAGAUUGAAAUUCUUUUGUUUCGUCCUGCAAAUUGAGCUGCUUUUUGACGUGACGUGCAAGGGGUCUAUUGGUGGUGAUGAUGAUGGUCGUGGUGGUAAUUGUAAUGGUGGUGAUGAUGAAAAUAAUUUAAUAUUAAGGAAAAAAGCAAAAUAAAAACAUGAUUGCGUUUGGAGGCAGUGCAGGAAGGACGUCCCGUUGGAGCUCCUACAAUUUAGCCAUAUUUCUUCAAUUAAAACAUAAUGAAUCUAAACUAAACUAUCCAAGCCGUAAUACUUUAUUUUGGAGAAGCUGGAAAGAUGAUAAAUAACCAAGAUGACCUUAUUUCUGCGAAUGACAGCCAAACUGAGCGUAAGCGAGGAAGACCUAGAAAACCUGUCAA